AUCCAGCUGACGAGUCCCAAAUAGGGCGAAGCGGGGUGCGUCCUGGAU
rnacentral:hammerhead_ribozyme from 1 species